GAUGAAGAACGUAGCGAAAUGCGAUACUUGGUGUGAAUUGCAGAAUCCCGUGAACCAUCGAGUCUUUGAACGCAAGUUGCGCCCGAAGCCAUCAGGUUGAGGGCACGUCUGCCUGGGCGUCACAUAACGUUGCCCAAUGCCUAUUGCAGUGCAAUAGGAAUUUCUAGGGCGAAUGAUGGCUUCCCGUGAGCGUUGUUGCCUCGCGGUUGGUUGAAAAUCGAGUCCUUGGUAUGGUGUGCCAUGGUAGAUGGUGGUCGAGUUAGAACGAUACCGAUCAUGUGCAUGCUCCCCAAAAUAUGGCCUCUAUGACCCACACGCGUCUUUUGACGCUCAUGACGAGACCUCAGGUCAGGCGGGGCUACCCGCUGAAUUUAAGCAUAUCAAUAAGCGGAGGA
rnacentral:misc_RNA from 1 species